rnacentral:rRNA from 1 species
CAGCCGUAAACUAUGCUCGCUAGGUGUCAGGGACGGUGCGACCGUUUCUGGUGCCGCAGGGAAGCCGUGAAGCGAGCCACCUGGGAAGUACGGUCGCAAGGCUGAAACUUAAAGGAAUUGGCGGGGGAGCACUACAACGGGUGGAGCCUGCGGUUUAAUUGGACUCAACGCCGGAAACUCACCGGGGGCGACAGCAAUAUGUAGGUCAAGCUAAAGACUUUGCCGGAUUAGCUGAGAGGAGGUGCAUGGCGUAGUCGUGU